rnacentral:rRNA from 1 species
UACAGAGGGUGCGAGCGUUGUUCGGAAUUAUUGGGCGUAAAGGGCGCGUAGGCGGUGCAGUAGUCACCUGUGAAAUCUCCUGGCUCAACUGGGAGCUUGCAGGCGAAACUGCCGUGCUCGAGUGUGGGAGAGGUGAGUGGAAUUCCCGGUGUAGCGGUGAAAUGCGUAGAUAUCUGGAGGAACACCGGUGGCGAAGGCGGCAUUCUGGACCGAUAUUGACGCUGAGGAGCGAAAGCCAGGGGAGCAAACGGG